AUCACUUCUCGGCCUUUUGGCUAAGAUCAUGUGUAGUAUCUUAUAAAUGGGAUCUGGCCCUAAAUUCUCAUGGUUCCCACACACU